rnacentral:misc_RNA from 1 species
UUUCCGUAGGUGAACCUGCGGAAGGAUCAUUACAGAGUUCAUGCCCUCACGGGUAGAUCUAACACCCUUGAAUAUUUAUACCUUAGUUGCUUUGGCAGGCCGUGGAAACACCAUGGGCUCCGGCUUAUGCGUGCCUGCCAGAGGAAACAAACUCUGUUUUUAGUGAUGUCUGAGUACUAUAUAAUAGUUAAAACUUUCAACAACGGAUCUCUUGGUUCUG